UCUCUCCCCUACGAGGCACCUUUUGAAGAGCAAAAUCGUAAGGCCUCAUGCCAAUAGCGGCCAAAAAUCGAAGCAGACAAUAUCCCAUAUACAUGAGAGUAGAGACCGAUCCGUCCGAACCACAAGCUCUUAACUACAACAUUGAUGCUAGAGAAAUGGCAUAUGUGCCUUCGACGACUGUGAUAGAGUCUCCCUUGACUGGAGGGCUAUGUUAUGGUA
rnacentral:lncRNA from 1 species